rnacentral:rRNA from 1 species
GUGGGGAAUCUUGCGCAAUGGGCGAAAGCCUGACGCAGCGACGCCGCGUGAGCGAUGAAGGCCUUCGGGUUGUAAAGCUCUGUGGGGAGGGACGAAUAAGGCCAGGCUAAUCACUGGUCGAUGACGGUACCUCCUUAGCAAGCACCGGCUAACUCUGUGCCAGCAGCCGCGGUAAGACAGAGGGUGCAAACGUUGUUCGGAUUCACUGGGCGUAAAGCGCGUGUAGGCGGUCAUGCAAGUCGGAUGUGAAAUCCCACGGCUCAACCGUGGUAGUGCACCCGAAACUACAUGACUCGAGUCCUGGAGAGGAAGGUGGAAUGCUUGGUGUAGAGGUGAAAUUCGUAGAGAUCAAGCGGAACACCAGUGGCGAAGGCGGCCUUCUGGACAGUGACUGACGCUGAGACGCGAAAGCGUGGGGAGCAAACAGGAUUAGAAACCCGGGUAGUCC